GAUGUCUGGUGUGGUGCUCCGGGCCCGCCGCCGUUAGGCGGUGAGUGCUUGUUGUGCGCCUACCAUCCUUCUGGGGAGUUUGUUCUACCCUUAACUGGGCCGGAGCGAGCGACCUAGAUCGUUUACUUUGAAAAAAUUAGAGUGUUUAAAGCAGGCGUUUGUUAUGAAUACAUUAGCAUGGAAUAAUAAGAUAGGACUUUGGUUCUAUUUUGUUGGUUUCUAGGACUGAAGUAAUGAUUGAUAGGGACAGUUGGGGGUGCUAGUAUUUAACGGCCAGAGGUGAAAUUCUUGGAUUCGUUAAAGACUAACUUAUGCGAAAGCAUU
rnacentral:rRNA from 1 species